rnacentral:lncRNA from 1 species
AACAGGAGUUGAUAGAAAGCAGGGUGAGGCCAUUUUCACUUUUUCUUUUCGGAAACAAUGUAUACAAAAUUUUGGUGCCAGGCUUCUACUUUUACCGGUUAGGUUUGCUCUCUUGGAAUUCAGAUCAAAAUUCUCUCCUAAUGGGGGCUAAAUUUUCUUAAUGUAGAAAAAUAGUUUAAAACUUUUAGAUUUGGAUAAAAGUUAAACCUCGACUCCUGCAUCAACUUCACU